rnacentral:rRNA from 1 species
AGUGAACGCUGGCGGUAGGCCUAACACAUGCAAGUCGAGCGGAAGCACAGUAAGAGCUUGCUCUUACGGUUGGCGACUGGCGGAUGGGUGACGAAUACAUCGCAAUCUACUUUUUCUUGGGGGAUAACGUAGGGCAACUUACGCUACUACCGCAUACGACCUACGGGUGAAAGCAGUGGAUCUUCAGACCUUGCCUGAUUGUAUGAGCCGAUGUCGGAUUAGCUAGUUGGCGGGGUAAAGGCCCACCAAGGCGACGAUCCGUAGCUGGUCUGAGAGGAUGAUCAGCCACACUGGAACUGAGACACGGUCCAGACUCCUACGGGAGGCAGCAGUGGGGAAUAUUGGACAAUGGGCGAAAGCCUGAUCCAGCAAUGCCGCGUGGGUGAAGAAGGUCUUCGGAUUGUAAAGCCCUUUUAUUGGGGAAGAACAGCAGCAUGUUAAUACACCGCUGUUCUGACGGUACCCAAAGAAUAAGCACCGGCUAACUUCGUG